UACGUAGGGUGCGAGCGUUAAUCGGAAUUACUGGGCGUAAAGCGUGCGCAGGCGGUUGUGCAAGACAGGUGUGAAAUCCCCGGGCUUAACCUGGGAACUGCACUUGUGACUGCACGACUUGAGUACGGCGGAGGGGGAUGGAAUUCCGCGUGUAGCAGUGAAAUGCGUAGAUAUGCGGAAGAACACCGGUGGCGAAGGCGGCCUGCUGGGCAGUUUAGCUGACACUGAGGCGCGACAGCGUGGGGAGCAAACAGG
rnacentral:rRNA from 1 species